GUGUCAGCAGCCGCGGUAAUACGGAGGAUGCGAGCGUUAUCCGGAUUUAUUGGGUUUAAAGGGUGCGUAGGCGGUUUGGAAAGUCAGCGGUAAAAGCCCGGGGCUCAACCCCGGCGAGCCGUUGAAACUGACGGACUGGAGACGGAGAGAAGUACGCGGAAUGCGCAGUGUAGCGGUGAAAUGCAUAGAUAUUGCGCAGAACUCCGAUUGCGAAGGCAGCGUACCGGCUCCGGACUGACGCUGAGGCACGAAAGCGUGGGGAUCAAACAGGCUUAGAUACCCUGGUAGUCCACGCAGUAAACGAUGAAUGCCGGCUGUCCGGGACGAUUGGGUCCUGGGUGGCGAAGCGAAAGCGAUAAGCAUUCCACCUGGGGAGUACGCCGGCAACGGUGAA
rnacentral:rRNA from 1 species